GACCAGUCACACGGGCANUGAGANACGGGCCCGANUCCUACGGGAGGCAGCAGUAAGGAAUAUUGGUCAAUGGACGCAAGUNUGAACCAGCCAUGCCGCGUGGAGGAUGAAGGUCCUCUGGAUUGUAAACUUCUUUUAUCUGGGAAGAAAUCCAUAAAUUCUUUUAUGGUUGACGGUACCAGGUGAAUAAGCACCGGCUAACUCCGUGCCAGCAGCCGCGGUAAUACGGAGGGUGCAAGCGUUAUCCGGAUUCACUGGGUUUAAAGGGUGCGUAGGCGGAUUGGUAAGUCCGUGGUGAAAUCCCCGAGCUUAACUCGGGAACUGCCAUGGAUACUAUCAGUCUUGAAUAUCAUGGAGGUAAGCGGAAUAUGUCAUGUAGCGGUGAAAUGCUUAGAUAUGACAUAGAACAC
rnacentral:rRNA from 1 species